AGAUGUGCUCGUAGAGUAACGAGCAGGGUAAUCAAAAGAAAUACUCAUAUAAGA
rnacentral:ncRNA from 1 species